rnacentral:rRNA from 1 species
UACGUAGGGGGCAAGCGUUAUCCGGAAUCAUUGGGCGUAAAGCGCGUGUAGGCGGUUCCGUAAGUCCGCUCUGAAAGCCCAGGGCUCAACCCUGGGAGGCGGGUGGAUACUACGGAACUGGAGUACGGAAGAGGAGAUUGGAAUUCCUGGUGUAGCGGUGAAAUGCGCAGAUAUCUGGAGGAACACCGGUGGCGAAGGCGGCAUCCUGGACCGGCAUUGACGCUGAGGCGCGAAAGCCAGGGGAGCAAACGGG